AUAGAUUUAAGUUAAUAAUAGACUAAGUGUUUUCAAAACACUAAGAGGCUUUGGUCAAUCUAUG
rnacentral:tRNA from 1 species